CUCAAGGUGUUGAUAAUACACGGAAGUCAGAUGACAUUGAUGGUUCAGCUGAGGAUCAGUAUUAGAGUUUGUGGACAAGAUUAGCUGUGGAUAGCUUUGGGUAUCUCGUGAUAUUAGUGCUGUUGUUAGAUGUUAUUUACUUAUUAAGUUGUUUUCAAUGGAUUUAGACGGUUUAUGGAGACUUAUGUCAAUUUUAUUCUAUUCUAAUUUGUUAUGUGAGACAUGGAGAAAAGUUGAUAUUUUAUUUGGGUUCUUGGACUGAGGAUUUGAUAUGUGAGUAUGUAUGGUUUAUUAAUUUAAAGUAUUUAUAUUUGAUUUGAA